ensembl:lncRNA
AUGCACGGCCAGUUGUCUCGCUCCCUGCACUGGGCCGACCCCCUGAGCAGGGGCGAAGGCUGCGAGCCGCCCCACAGACAGCGUCCCCCGCCUGCCCGCCCGGGAGCAGGGAUGCCCCACGGGCCGCCCUCGGGGUCUCAGCUCUGCGGAGGCCGGGCAGGGGCGAGGUUCCCGCCCUCCGGAUGCGUGGGGCUGGGUGGGGCAGGCACAGGGGUGAGGACGGGAGAGGCCAGUGCAGCUGUGAGCCCCGCCCGCAGAUGGCAGGGGGGACACCUGGGUCUGCAGACAGAGGUGAGUGCAGGGCAGCGGGGAGCUGGGACCCGUGUUCCCCAGGCCUCCCGCCGCGGCCGCGCUCCCCCCACCUACAGGACGACUUCCAGAGCCCUCCGUCCGCUCCCCUGCAGCCUCCUCGGUCCCUCCUUCACCUGUGCCUCCGUGGGGAGAAGCUGCGGGACAUGCAGGCGUCCUGGUCAAGUAUUUAAUGAGGAUCUUAGCUUGCGUAGACGAGCACGCCGACCGGGAGAGAAGGACCCCAAGUUGGGGGGUGGUGCAGGGGGCAGCUCCACCUGCAGCAGAGCCAGUGCCCACCCGGACGACAGCCCAGUUCCGGGGGGCCGCCCGCGCCCCGUCCUCACAGCUGCCCUGCACACGGCUGUCGUCCCCGUGUCACCAGAGACCCUGUGGGGCACCCGCCGCAGCUUCCUUAGGACCCGUUACCUUUUCCUCUCCUGCUUUGUGACCUGGGCAAACAGUGGGACAAACCAAAGCACAAGCAAGGAGUUAACUGAAAACACCUGGACGUCGCCACGUAAAAACGUCAUGUUGUUUUUUUAUUGUUUAAGCCAAUUUUAUUGGGGUUUUUCUCUACAUGGUCAAGAAAGUCAUAGUCGAAGUAUGGAUGCAAAAGAAUAAGGUGACAACAGUCCCCGUCCUGCGCGGCUGUGGGCACCCGUCCCGAGGCCGCGGGGUCCGCGUGGACCACCCCCGGCACAUGCACCGGUGCCCACGCCGUCGCCCACCCGGAGGUGACCCCAACCGGCCCCUGCUCUUAGGCGUCCAGCACGUUCCCACCCACUGUUGUUCCAGCAGCUCAAAAUGGGACUAAAUGGCUGAGAAACAGAAAUUAAAGAUGCUUUUAUGCCCAAGGAUAUUUUCCAAGGAGAGGGACAGCUGCUCCAGGACGUCGGGCGCCGUGGGACCGUCCUGCGUGUGUGGAAUAUGGAAGCCAGCUACUUGGGAAUAUUAAUUUUCAGACAAAUCAGGUUCUAAGAGAAUCGCCGGGUGGAGACAGACUUGCUCCUGACCACUUCCAAUCUGGUAACAUUGCCUUGGCUCGCGUGCGGAAGCCUUGGCGGGCAGCAUCGGGGCAGCGGCCACGUUGGCCGAGCAGGUGGACACGCGGGCAGGGGCACCAAGAGCCUGGAGCUGGGCUGAGGGCUCCGGGCGGGUCACCAGCAGGGAGAUCACGGACUGUCUGGGCUGCAGCCUCACAGGUGCAGGGCAGGGAGGUGCCGCGUGAACCUCGGGGACAGCAGGGCCAGUGAGCGUGCCCGGGGGGCGUGAGUGCCACCUGCCUCCCCACAUGGAGCUCCUGGGAGCAGGACCCCGAGCUGGGGCGCGGGCAGGGAGCAUCCAGCCCCCACCCAGCCCCACGAUGGCCGCCCCGUCCAGCAGGCCCAACGCCUCCAGGGAACAUCAGCUUUCGGUCCACUGUUGGCAUCUGGUCCUGGUGUAAAACCAUCGGGCCGGUGGCGGUCGUAGCGGUUCCACCAAGAGGCGGUCGCGCGGAGGCCCCGGUCACAAGAGUGGCGUCCGGACGACUCAUGCGACUUCCGGGUCUGGAGGGAACAUGCGCCCCCCGCCCCACAAAGCCCGCGCCGGGGCUGCAAUCCCCCCCACCACCACCACCACC